UGGCUCAGGACGAACGCUGGCGGCGUGCCCUAACACAUGCAAGUCGAGCGAGGAGAUUCCUCGGGAUGAUCCUAGCGGCGGACGGGUGAGUAACACGUGGGCAACCUGCCUCAUAGAGAGGAAUAGCCUUCCGAAAGGGAGAUUAAUACCUCAUAACAUUGCAGUUUCGCAUGGAACAGCAAUUAAAGGAGUAAUCCGCUAUGAGAUGGGCCCGCGGCGCAUUAGCUAGUUGGUGAGGUAAUGGCUCACCAAGGCGACGAUGCGUAGCCGACCUGAGAGGGUGAUCGGCCACAUUGGGACUGAGACACGGCCCAGACUCCUACGGGAGGCAGCAGUGGGGAAUAUUGCACAAUGGGGGAAACCCUGAUGCCAGCAACGCCGCGUGAGUGAUGACGGCCUUCGGGUUGUAAAGCUCUGUCUUCAGGGACGAUAAUGACGGUACCUGAGGAGGAAGCCACGGCUAACUACGUGCCAGCCGCCGC
rnacentral:rRNA from 1 species